GGAGAGGUCGCAUAGUGGCCUAGUGCGGAGGUCUUGAAAACCUCUAGGGUCUUUUUGGCCCUCGCGAGUUCGAAUCUCGCCCUCUCCG
rnacentral:tRNA from 1 species